rnacentral:rRNA from 1 species
AUUGAACGCUGGCGGCAGGCCUAACACAUGCAAGUCGAACGAGUGGCGGACGGGUGAGUAAUGUCUGGGUAACUGCCCGAUGGGGGGGGCUAACUGCUGGAAGCGGUAGCUAAUCCCGCAUACCAUCGGAUGUGCCCAGAUGGGAUUAGCUAGUAGGUGGGGUAACGGCUCACCAAGGCGACGGUCCCUAGCUGGUCUGAGAGGAUGACCAGCAACACUGGAACUGAGACACGGUCCAGACUCCUACGGGAGGCAGCAGUGGGGAAUAUUGGACAAUGGGCGCAAGCCUGAUGCAGCCAUGCCGCGUGUAUGAAGAAGGCCUUCGGGUUGUAAAGUACUUUCAGCGAGGAGGCGUUACUAGCAGAAGAAGCACCGGCUAACUCCGUGCCAGCCGCCGCGGUAAUUC